GAGGUGAGCUGGGGGUGCCCCGUUGUCGAGAGCGGCGACCGGGCUGAGAGAGUCCCCUUGAACCUGAACCGGUUAACACCGGCGGAGGGAAGCUCGGUCAACGGUCU
rnacentral:ncRNA from 1 species